UUGGGCUUACCUUCUUCUCUUUCGGUCUAGAUUUUCCAAGUUGCGUCCAACAUUUUGUUUCUUAGCAGUAUCACCUUCCAGGUCGCCUCGGGAGAAAAUCCGUGGUUGCGUCUUUCCCUCACUGUCCACUAGUCUAUCAUAUUUCCAGCAUAAUCCACUUUCAUCUGUAACUUAAAAAAAAUAAUAAAAUAGCCACACAAUGACAAACAAAGUAACACAAUAGACACAACUAAAAAAAAUAAAAUAAAAUAUAAAGCAAUU
rnacentral:lncRNA from 1 species